GUGAGGAAUAUUGGUCAAUGGGCGAGAGCCUGAACCAGCCAAAUCGCGUGAAGGAUGAAGGUAUUAUGUAUUGUAAACUUCUUUUAUCGGGGAAUAAAGUGCGGGACGUGUCCCGUUUUGUAUGUACCCGAAGAAUAAGGAUCGGCUAACUCCGUGCCAGCAGCCGCGGUAAUACGGAGGAUCCAAGCGUUAUCCGGAUUUAUUGGGUUUAAAGGGUGCGUAGGCGGACUGUCAAGUCAGCGGUGAAAGUCCAUGGCUCAACCAUGGAAUUGCCGUUGAAACUGUCGGUCUUGAGUGUAGAUGAGGUAGGCGGAAUUCGUAGUGUAGCGGUGAAAUGCUUAGAUAUUACGAAGAACUCCAAUUGCGUAGGCAGCUUACCAGGCUACAACUGACGCUGAGGCACGAAGGUGCGGGGAUCAAACAGGAUUAGAUACCCGUGUAGUCC
rnacentral:rRNA from 1 species